rnacentral:rRNA from 1 species
UACGGAAGGGGCAAGCGUUGUUCGGAAUCAUUGGGCGUAAAGGGCGCGUAGGCGGCCUGCUAAGUCGAACGUGAAAUCCCUGGGCUCAACCCAGGAACUGCGUCCGAUACUGGUUGGCUUGAAUCCGGGAGAGGGACGUGGAAUUCCAGGUGUAGCGGUGAAAUGCGCAGAUAUCAGGAAGAACACCCGUGGCGAAAGCGGCUCUCUGGAACGGUACUGACGCUGAGACGCGAAAGCGUGGGGAGCGAACAGG